rnacentral:rRNA from 1 species
ACGAACGCUGGCGGCGUGUCUUAAGCAUGCAAGUUGAGCGGCAAGGGGGAGCAAUCCCCCCUAGAGCGGCGGACUGGUGAGUAACACGUGGGUGACCUGCCUUUGUCAUGGGGAUAGCCAUUAGAAAUAGUGGGUAAUACCGAAUACGCUUGCACACGUAGAGGUGUGUAAGGAAAGGCGCUACGGCGCCGGACGAAGAUGGGCCCGCGUCCCAUUAGCUAGUUGGUGAGGUAACGGCCCACCAAGGCGAUGAUGGGUAGGCGGCCUGAGAGGGUGUACGCCCACAUUGGGACUGAGAUACGGCCCAAACUCCUACGGGAGGCAGCAGCUAAGAAUAUUCCGCAAUGGACGAAAGUCUGACGGAGCGACGCCGCGUGGAUGACGAAGGCCGAAAGGUUGUAAAAUCCUUUUAUAUGUCAAGAAAAUGACGGUAGCAUAUGAAUAAGCACCGGCUAACUCCGU